CAGGCAGAGGGGCUGAUCCCUUUACAAGCCAAUGAGCUGCCGACACCGUCAGACUUUCCAGGUCUCUGAGUUAAAAAGGCAAACGGCACAUAAAUCUACUGGCAGACCGCCCGUGCUUCUGUCCUCACAGCAAAAGAUUUUCAGAACUGCAUGCCCUUCACUGAUGGAAACGCUGAAAAAUACCUUCCGUUGAAGUAUUUUGAAACUUGAGAGGACCACAGGAGAGGAAAUCAGAUGGCUUCUUCCCAAGCGAAGUUUCGAGAUACCACAGAAAACCUAGAAAGCGCUCAAACGUGAGGAUUUUCCAUUUAAAAACGUAUAGAACCAAGACCAAAAUCAGAGAAAACGAGGUAGAGUUGGUCAUUAUUCCUUCACCAUUUCUGCAGCAACAAGGCUGCAAACCACCCAAGCAACAGUUAGAAGGAGAACCCUCACUUUGAGGAAGAUGGACCAAUCAUCUGUCCUUUGCAAAGUCAUCUAUAUUAUCAAUGGGUUUCCUGGAUUGAAUGAUGCAAGGACCUACAGCGCAGUCCCAGGACCUCCCACUCCAGUAAAGUGCCAAGAGGGGGCUGUGCUCGAAUGUGCCCUGGCUUGACCAAGGAUUUCAUGUAAUGGGGUUGUGGCCGCAGGCCUCAUGUCCAGAAGAAGGAAACAACAAAUAUGCAAGAUCUGGACUAAGUAGUGUCUACACUGAGGAUGAGAGGAUGUCCAAAGUUAUCCACAACCCCAAGUUCAAGUUUUGACAGCAUUUCGAGUGUAUGUAAGUAUGCGUGGUGAGCUUGAUCAGAAUUUUUAAUCCCUCUGCACCCUAGCGAAGGGAACGUUAGUAACUCCUGUUCAGCUUAAUUCACAAAUUUGGGUAGAUACCAAAUGGAGGAAUUAGUUCAAAGAACACCUUAAAAGCCGAAGUCUAAAAUACAGCGCGCGAUUUCUAUUUUCUGCCUUUUUCCAGUUUUCCCCUUCCUUUGUCCUGGCACACAUCCUCUUUUCUUCUUUCCCCAUGGUCUCCUUAUCUGUCUUUGUUGUGAUUACAUGGGUUUGCAGCCUUUUAAAAAAUGCCGGAAAAACCCUUCUGACACUUGAGCUUGUGGUUUUAUCUUCUGCAAAACUGAGCAAAGGACUUGGUGCAAAGCAGGUGCUUCAGUGCAGGUCGUGGCAAUGAGCAGGACUUGAGUAACCUUGGCUGGAGGCACAUGCUUGGGACCCAAGGAAAGGACAGGCUGCUGGUCUGGACUCUGGGGCCUCCGCAGGGCAAUGGUAUUCUCCUGAAUUCACAUCAUCGAUGUAAUCAUGCAAAAUAAUACCUUGCAUGUAAAGUUGUUCACUUUCCCUCUCUGUUCCCCCAAUUCCCUUUUCGACCAUUGCUGGAUGAAUAACAAUACAUGAUCUCCAUGGGGACCUCUGUACAGAGCAAAGAUGCUAAACUAUUGAUUCCAAUAGCAGGACCCAUAAACACCGGGUCAGAGGAGGAAGAUGGCUUGAGUUUCCCUCAGGACACAGAACUUCAUUUUGGUUUAAAACAGAACAACGAUAGGAGUGAUGAAAGGACUUUAUCUUGCUGAGCAUCUCAGCGCCAUGAUUGACUCAACAGAGAAGAGGUCAUUUCUGACACAGCCUUUUCUCCCAUGUGUUUGCUGGGCUCCAGAAUAGUGAGGAGCAUGGACUAUGCCCGGCACUGAGCAAGGCUGCAUUCAUUAUAUCAUUUAAUACUAGCAGAGAGAAAAGAAAAAAAGAAAAGAAGAGAAAAGAAAAGAAGGAAAAGAAAAGAAAAGAAAAGAGAAAAGAAAAGAAAAAAAAGAAAAGAAAAGAAAAGAAAAGAGAAAAGAAAAAAAAGCCAGCACUAUUAUUCCAAUCAUUUGAGCAAGACAGCAGCUGAACUUGAGAAGAUUAAGAAAAUGCUGAGGGUCACCAGUGAUUCACUAGAUUUCUGGUUCAUUUUACAGUCUUCUGGAAAGUUAACUUAUAAAUUGAUUUUGGUUUUAAAUACAGGAGGAAGAGGUUAUGCCAUUCACACUACAGUCACAGUAUAAUUUAAAUAGUGUAAAUGACUAACAGGGUCCCGAGGCAUCUUUCCUCUGGACUAUGCAUAAAGCUACCUUGGUUGUUCACUGGUUCAGAUCCAGUGUCACGAGAUAGGGGAUGGUUUGAGUUGCCCCAGAGUUGCCCCAGAUGCUGUAUGGAGACAGCAUGUGCUUCUACACACCUUAUCUGGUCUACACCUCAGCCCUCGUGCAUUAAUUUGAUAAAGAAUGUUCCUGAGCAGAGGCACCUGGGUGGCUCAGUGGUUGAGCAUCUGCCUUCAGUUUAGGUCACGAUCCUGGGGUCCUGGGAUCGAGUCCCACAUUGGGCUCCCUGCAGGAAGCCUGCUUCUCCCUCUGCUUGUGUCUCUGCCUCUCUCUCUGUCUCUCAUGAAUAAAUAAAUAAAAAUCUUUAAAAAAAUGUUCCUUAGUAAUGGAAAGUCAUUUUUAUAAAUUAUAAGUUUUGAUGAAGUUGAUAGUGAUGCUAUGAUCAGAGCAGUCUUAAACAUCCUGCUUUUCAUUUAUCAAUGUAAUUUAUAGAAAUUCUAAAAAAAAUCUAUAAAUAUUAUUUAAAAAUUGAGAAUCUAACAGGAAAAAGAAUCCCUUAUAAUUGCUACAAACCACAGGUUACAGAAUAUGGGAAAGUUUGUGUUACAUUUCCUUCCAACCUUCCUUUUAAAGUCCAUAAUUGGCAUCACAGUUUGCCAGAAGGAUGCUAUUUUCUUCACAUUAGGUUUUAUUUCCCCAUAUCACUAAAAAUUAUAUAAAAAUAUUGUUAUAUCUUUCAAAAUGUCACAACUUGCCAUAAUUUAUUGAACUAUCCUCCCUGUAGUUAGUUGGUCAUUUAGAUUAUUUCCUUUAAGAAAAAAAAGAGUCAUAAAUAACUAAAUCUAUUUUUGCUUAGUGCAUAUUCCCAGAGUAGGAUGACCAGGAUGGGGGAAGGGACAAUUUGAACAUUUGCAGUGCAGUAUGUUGCCAGGAAAUGGCUUCGCAGACACCCUGGAUCAAUUUGCCCUUAUGAGGUGGAUGCUCUCCACGUGGGGUCCCAGGUCUCCCCAACAUUUGGGGAUUCACUUCUGCAGCCCUCUAUGGCAGACAUUCCCACUGCCAACUCCAUGAUCUCGUCUCUUCCCCUGAGACAUCUGUUUCUCUCUUGAGCGAGUGACACAGUUAGAGGAGAAUGUCCAAAAUCCCUUUUAGAAAUCUGUGUCCACUGUCUAGCAUAGGCAUGGGCACCCUUGAACACCGGGCAGUUCCCCACACAUCCCCUGGACCCCACUGUCCACAGCGUAUGUCUGUGCUCUGGGGCCUGCCAGGGUCCCCCUCCUGCACACCUGUCUCCUGCAUGGUUGGAUGGGGCUGAGGACAUUUCCCAAGAAAGAUAACCCUGUGGACCCUCCUCCCCAUGUGCAUCCCUCAUGCCCUUACCCGGUAGCUGUAACAACAGGGUGUUGUUGGACCUGUCUGGGUAACCUUACUUGCACUCCCAGCUGUAGGUGCCUCUAGGACCCUGACAUGUAAGCAGAGAGCUCCAAUUUGUGUCCCUGGGGAGACCUCAUGUUUUUAAACCCCAAACACUGGACAAGUGGUCUGUGAAGUUGUUAGGAGUUCGGCCUAGAUUUGGGCUGUUUCAAACACAUUCCUAAAUGGUGGGAGCUACCAGUCUGGUUUGUUUCAAGAUUAGGGGCAGUGGGGGUGGCAUGGUCUGGGCAACGUAGGGCUACUUUGAUCAAAUGAUGCAGAUCAGAUGGCAAAAGGCUAAAACUUGGGCCUUUCCAGAUUCCAGCAAAGGAAAGGAUUCAGAAGCUGACUCCUUGUCAAGGUCUUGAAUCAACCAGCUGUUUUGUGAUGUGAAUGGAGAAAUGGAUGCUCCCAGAAGUUUGACAGUAAAAGACCACAGACUCACGGUCUCUGGAUCAGUUCUAAAUUGAGAGGGAUGAUUUCCUCCUUGCAGAUGAAAGCCUUCCGGCUAGACCAGGAUGAAUAGAUCUGAUUACGCUUGAGAGCCAGCGUUCACAUCUCUCGUUGUCAGUCCUGUGAUUUUCUAGGUCAAUAAUAUUACUUCCCAAGUUGUGGACAAAAGCCAGCUUUUAAAAAAUGGGAGUGAAUGCCAAUGGCUUAAUAUACACUGUUCUACUGAAUUCUGAUCAUUAAGUCCAUCUGAAAGGGUCUCCAAAUGAGAAAAGUCAGGAAGCGAUUUUUGUUCUAUAGAGAAUGAAUGUGUAGCAAAUUAUUGAUCAGAUACAACUUAAAUCUUUUUCUAGAUGAACUUUGUCAUCACAUCUGAAAUGGAAGGAAAAGGUACAGUGAUUAGAAAUUAA